rnacentral:rRNA from 1 species
CCUACGGGAGGCAGCAGUGGGGAAUUUUGGACAAUGGGCGCAAGCCUGAUCCAGCAAUGCCGCGUGAGUGAAGAAGGCCUUCGGGUUGUAAAGCUCUUUUGUCAGGGAAGAAACGGCUGAGGCUAAUAUCCUCGGCUAAUGACGGUACCUGAAGAAUAAGCACCGGCUAACUACGUGCCAGCAGCCGCGGUAAUACGUAGGGUGCAAGCGUUAAUCGGAAUUACUGGGCGUAAAGCGUGCGCAGGCGGUUUUGUAAGUCUGUCGUGAAAGCCCCGGGCUUAACCUGGGAAUUGCGAUGGAGACUGCAAGGCUUGAAUCUGGCAGAGGGGGGUAGAAUUCCACGUGUAGCAGUGAAAUGCGUAGAGAUGUGGAGGAACACCGAUGGCGAAGGCAGCCCCCUGGGUCAAGAUUGACGCUCAUGCACGAAAGCGUGGGGAGCAAACAGGAUUAGAUACCCUGGUAGUCCACGCCCUAAACGAUGUCUACUAGUUGUCGGGUCUUAAUUGACUUGGUAACGCAGCUAACGCGUGAAGUAGACCGCCUGGGGAGUACGGUCGCAAGNUUAAAACUCAAAUGAAAUUGAGG